rnacentral:rRNA from 1 species
CGGCGGACGGGUGAGUAACACGUGGAUAACCUACCUAUAAGACUGGGAUAACUUCGGGAAACCGGAGCUAAUACCGGAUAAUAUAUUGAACCGCAUGGUUCAAUAGUGAAAGACGGUUUUGCUGUCACUUAUAGAUGGAUCCGCGCCGCAUUAGCUAGUUGGUAAGGUAACGGCUUACCAAGGCAACGAUGCGUAGCCGACAUGAGAGGGUGAUCGGCCACACUGGAACUGAGACACGGUCCAG